UCAGAAGAUUCAGCAUCAAAGGGACCAAGUGUGAAACAUGAGACGAAGAAAGUGAAAAUAUCACCUGUGACCUCAAAAAAACCGUCCACUGGACAAAUCAGGCGAAGUGUUCGGGACUCGCUGGAGGAGAUUCUUUUGAAACGACUGAAGGAGGCCGAUAUGAAGAUUUCAUUGGAUAAGCCUGCUGAGUUGGCCAGAAGAACGGAGAAAGAGCUUUUUG